GAACGGUAGCACAGAGAGCUUGCUCUUGGGUGACGAGUGGCGGACGGGUGAGUAAUGUCUGGGAAACUGCCCGAUGGAGGGGGAUAACUACUGGAAACGGUAGCUAAUACCGCAUAACGUCUUCGGACCAAAGUGGGGGACCUUCGGGCCUCACACCAUCGGAUGUGCCCAGAUGGGAUUAGCUAGUAGGUGGGGUAACGGCUCACCUAGGCGACGAUCCCUAGCUGGUCUGAGAGGAUGACCAGCCACACUGGAACUGAGACACGGUCCAGACUCCUACGGGAGGCAGCAGUGGGGAAUAUUGCACAAUGGGCGCAAGCCUGAUGCAGCCAUGCCGCGUGUAUGAAGAAGGCCUUCGGGUUGUAAAGUACUUUCAGUGGGGAGGAAGGCGAUGGAGUUAAUAGCUUCGUCGAUUGACGUUACCCGCGGAAGAAGCACCGGCUAACUCCGUG
rnacentral:rRNA from 1 species